CCCUUAGAUGUUCUGGGCCGCACGCGCGCUACACUGACGAAUGCAACGAGCUUAUAACCUUGGCCGAAAGGUCUGGGUAAUCUCCAAAUUUCGUCGUGAUGGGGAUAGAUUAUUGCAAUUAUUAAUCUUCAACGAGGAAUGCCUAGUAAACGCAAGUCAUCAGCUUGCGUUGAUUACGUCCCUGCCCUUUGUACACACCGCCCGUCGCUCCUACCGAUUGAAUGGUCCGGUGAAGCGUUCGGACCGUGGCCUUUGGACGGUUCGCCGUCUGUUGGCUGCGGGAAGUUCGUUAAACCUUAUCAUUUAGAGGAAGGAGAANUCGUAACA
rnacentral:rRNA from 1 species